rnacentral:rRNA from 1 species
UGCGCAGGCGGCCAUGUGUGUGAGGCGUGAAAGCCCGGGGCUUAACCCCGGAAUUGCACCUCAAACUACAUGGCUAGAGAAUUGGAGAGGGUAACGGAAUUCACGGUGUAGCAGUGAAAUGCGUAGAUAUCGUGAGGAACACCAGAGGCGAAGGCGGUUACCUGGACAAUUUCUGACGCUCAGGCACGAAAGCGUGGGUAGCAAAAGGGAUUAGAUACCCCUGUAGUCCACGCCCUAAACGGUGCACACUAGGUCUUGGCGGAUUCGACCCCGUCAGGGCCCAAGCUAACGCGUUAAGUGUGCCGCCUGAGGACUACGGCCGCAAGGCUAAA